rnacentral:rRNA from 1 species
AUUGAACGCUGGCGGCAUGCCUAACACAUGCAAGUCGAACGAGUGGCGGACGGGUGAGUAAUGUCUGAGAAACUGCCUGAUGGAGGGGGAAAACUACUGGAAACGGUAUCUAAAUCCGCAUUCCAUCUGUUUUGCCCAGAUGGGAUGGGCUAGUGGGUGGGGGAAAGGCUCACUUAGGCGACGAUCCCUAGCUGGUCUGAGAGGAUGACCAGCCACACUGGAAUUGAGACACGGUCCAGAUUCCUACGGGAGGCAGCAGUGGGGAAUAUUGCACAAUGGGCGAAAGCCUGAUGCAGCCAGGCCGCGUGUAUGAAGAAGGCCUUCGGGUUGUAAAGUACUUUCAGCGGGGAGGCGUUACCCGCAGAAGAAGCACCGGCUAACUCCGUGCCAGCAGCCGCGGUAAUAC